UUUGACUAUGAUCCUGAGGGAGAUUACGUUCGCCUGUGGGUCCCAGAGUUAGAGAAAGUGAAGGGUGGGGCAGUCCACACUGUGUGGACACUCAAUCCUGCCACCCUGUCCAGUGCUGAGGUAUCCCUAGGAGAAACCUACCCAAAUCCUAUUGUGGUGGCUCCAGAAUGGAGUAGGCACAUUGGCAAAUCAAAGGGAGGAGGAGCACGAGGAGGAGGAAGUGGUAGACCUUCUACACAGAAACAGAACAGGGGGAUAGACUUCUACUUCAAAGGAUCUCAGUAGAAAUAUAUAUAACAU